UGGGGAAUUCUGGACAAUGGACGCAAGUCUGAUCCAGCCAUGCCGCGUGCGGGAAGGAGGCCUUCGGGUUGUAAACCGCUUUUGUCAGGGAAGAAACGAGUUUCUCUAAUACAGAGACUUAAUGACGGCACCUGAAGAAUAAGCACCGGCUAACUACGUGCCAGCAGCCGCGGUAAUACGUAGGGUGCAAGCGUUAAUCGGAAUUACUGGGCGUAAAGCGUGCGCAGGCGGCUAUGCAAGACAGAUGUGAAAUCCCCGGGCUCAACCUGGGAACUGCAUUUGUGACUGCAUAGCUGGAGUGCGGCAGAGGGGGAUGGAAUUCCGCGUGUAGCAGUGAAAUGCGUAGAUAUGCGGAGGAACACCGAUGGCGAAGGCAAUCCCCUGGACCUGUACUGACGCUCAUGCACGAAAGCGUGGGGAGCAAACA
rnacentral:rRNA from 1 species